rnacentral:lncRNA from 1 species
CCAUAAAGCUGGUACUUCCCGUUUGACCACUUUCUUAUGCAUUCUUCCUAGCAUUUUGGUCUUUUUUUUUUUUUUGAGAUCGAGUCUCACUCUGUUGCCCUGGCUGCAGUGCAGUAGCACAAUCUCAGGUCACUGCAACCUCUGACUCCAGGGUUCAAGCAAUUCUCCUGUCUCAGCCCCCUAAGUAGCUGGGAUUACAGGCGUGUGUUACCAAGCCUGGCUAAUUUUUGUGUUUUUAAUAGAGAUGGGCUUUCACCAUGUUGACUAGGCUGGUCUCAAAAUCCUGACCUCAGCUGAUUAGCCCGCCUUGGCCUCCCAAAGUGCUGGGAUUACAGAUGUAAGCCACUACACCUGGCAGCAUUUUGGUCUUUUCAGAAGUUGAUUGUGUCAUGCAUGUGCUCACCUACAGAAGAAAACGUGGACCCCAUUCACUUAAGCGUAUGUUUCUCCCUUCUCUUCUCCAUGCCACCCCUAUCACUACUCUUGCCCAGCUCCUAUAGUUUAUUUUUUCUCUUUAAUCAAACAGAAACAUUUAGGAAAACGAUAUAACAUUAUAGAUGUAAUUGAGUAAUUGUUUUUCUUCUGAUCCACUUUUUGUAACCCCUUGCUUAAUUCCUCCUAGCUCACAAAUGUAGAAUACCAACCUCAAGGGGACCAGGAGAAUAAAAACUGCAGGUUUAGUAUGACACAAACGAAGUAAUGAAGAAGAAGAUGAGCCUGUGGAGCUGAUUAGUUACAUCAACCAUGGUGAUCAAUGGACCUGAGAUGUCACAGGCAGAUUCCAUUUUCUUCUGGAAUUUAUUCCAAGCAUUCAGCAAGUGACCUGAAAGAGGUUCUGUUGAUAUUCAAGUUGGAAGAGAGAGAAUAUGAACAGAUGGCUGUGGCAAACAGCACAUUGCAAUUGGGAAGCAGAGUACAGGUACUAGUGAAUAUGACAUUUGGUAUUCCAUAAUAGUCUUGAAAAUUAAUUUUAAAUCAGGCUUCAAAAUCAUAAUAAAGAGCAACUCGUAUAUUAUUCAUUUCUUUAUUCUGAGGGCUAAUGUUUAGCUCUAAGCACGAUAUAUGCUGAAAGAAAGUGAAGGAGAUGUGAUUUUCAGUUAAAUACAUAAAGUAUGUUUAAAAACCACUGGCAUGACCUUAGUUAUUUUUCUAGGAUUAUUGAAUAGCUUCUAGUACCCUGAGACUUUUACCUGUAAAGACUACUUACAAUUAAAAGG